rnacentral:tRNA from 1 species
GGAUGGGUGGCCGAGUGGUUUAUGGCUCUGGUCUUGAAAACCAGCGUGCGGGAGACCGUACCGUGGGUUCGAAUCCCACCCCAUCCGCCA